GAGUUUGAUCCUGGCUCAGAAUCAACGCUGGCGGCGUGCCUAACACAUGCAAGUCGCACGAGAAAGGGUAGCAAUACCUGAGUACAGUGGCGCACGGGUGAGUAACACGUGACUAACUUACCCUCGAGUGGGGAAUAACCUAGGGAAACCUGGGCUAAUACCGCAUAACACUUACGAGUCAAAGCAGCAAUGCGCUUGGGGAGGGGGUCGCGGCCGAUUAGCUAGUUGGCGGGGUAAUGGCCCACCAAGGCAAUGAUCGGUAUCCGGCCUGAGAGGGCGCACGGACACACUGGAACUGAAACACGGUCCAGACUCCUACGGGAGGCAGCAGUGGGGAAUUUUGCGCAAUGGGGGAAACCCUGACGCAGCAACGCCGCGUGGAGGAUGAAGUCUCUUGGGACGUAAACUCCUUUCGAUCGGGACGAUAAUGACGGUACCGAUAGAAGAAGCCCCGGCUAACUUCGUGCCAGCAGCCGCGGUAAUACGAGGGGGGCAAGCGUUGUUCGGAAUUAUUGGGCGUAAAGGGUGCGUAGGCGGUCUGGUAAGUCUUGUGUGAAAUCUUCAGGCUCAACCUGAAGUCUGCAUGGGAAACUACCGGGCUUGAGUAUGGGAGAGGUGAGUGGAAUUUCCGGUGUAGCGGUGAAAUGCGUAGAUAUCGGAAGGAACACCUGUGGCGAAAGCGGCUCACUGGACCAUAACUGACGCUGAG
rnacentral:rRNA from 1 species